AUCAACUUUCGAUGGUAGGAUAGAGGCCUACCAUGGUGGUAACGGGUAACGGGGUGUUAGGGCACGACACCGGAGAGGGAGCCUGAGAAACGGCUACCACAUCCAAGGAUGGCAGCAGGCGCGCAAAUUACCCAAUCCCGACACGGGGAGGUAGUGACAAUAAAUAACAAUACGGGGUUCUUUUGGAUCUCGUAAUUGGAAUGAGUACAAUUUAAAUCUCUUAACGAGGAACAAUUGGAGGGCAAGUCUGGUGCCAGCAGCCGCGGUAAUUCCAGCUCCAAUAGCGUAUAUUAAAGUUGUUGCAGCUAAAAAGCUCGUAGUCGAAUUUCGGGAUUAGUAUGUUGGUCAUGCCUCUGGAAUGUACGGCUCUCACGGAUUCCUCCUUCCUGAUAAACCUGAUUGCCAUUAAUUUGUGGCUGCGGGAAACUUGAACGGUUACUUUGAAAAAAUUAAAUGGUUUAAAGCAGGCUAACGCUUGAUUACAUUACCAGGAAAUAAGGAAAUAGGACGUUCAAUCCAAUUUGGUUGGUUCCUAGGAAUGACGUAUGGAUUAAUAGGAAUAGUUGGGGGCAUUAGAAUUCAAUUGUCAAAGGUGAAAUUCUUGAAUUUAUUGAAAACUAACUACGGCGAAAGCAUUGGCCAAGGAGGUUUUCAUUAAUCAAAAACGAAAGUUAGGGAAUCAAAAACAAUCAAAUACCGCCGAAGUCUUAACCAUAACUAAUGCCAACAAGGGUUCGAAUGAGGUUAAUUUAAUGACGACUUAUUCGGCGCCUUACGGAACACCAAAGUGGUGGGGCUC
rnacentral:rRNA from 1 species